rnacentral:lncRNA from 1 species
UUUUUUUUUGGUUGUCGUUGUAGUUGUUGUUGUUGUUGUUGUUGUUGUUGUUGUUGUUGUUGUUGUUGUUCGUUUUAUAAGUAGAGAAAUAUAGGGAAAGAAAGAAUCAGAGUAAUGUAUGCCAAGAAGGCCUAGAGUCUCAUUUUUGCUGACCUAUAUUAAGAUUUUAGUUUUACUUAAUCCACUGUUCUUCAGAAGUAAAGGUUCUAGACAAAGUUGCAACUUUUUGCUUAUAAAUGAAUUUGUCAUUAGAUAACACCAGUUUGUCAACUUAUUAUGAUCUAUGGUUCUCAAACCGCUCGUGGCGGAUCAGUUUGUGCUGCUAUAUAAGUUAAACAUGCUGAUUAUUCCUUGCUUUUGUGGUUGUUGCUUUUGUGUUCUGAAUUUUUACUUUUGUGUUAAUAGAAAGGAGAGAGAGAGGAAGCCACUUUAGUGCGGCAACAGUCAACAAGACGGCCAAAUCUCUCCUCUCUGCAAAUACCUACAAGAUCUUUGGAAAAUGCAUUAUCCAGUUUUACAAGAAUAGAUGUUCCAAGUCCUAACUCUGCCCGAUCAGGGUUGCCCCCGAGGCCCCACUCUGCUAAGUUCAUGUCAUCUAUGAAGAAUCUGAUUCCACAGAAGAGCACUAGGACAAAAAAUGUAACCCACGAUGGCGAAAAGACAGUUCUCAUUAUCCCAGACACGCCACUUUCAGAUAAGCCUUCAACUUCAAGAUCGUUUUCUCUGAAUAAAGUUUUGUUCUCUUCGACGACAAGAUCAAUCCGCUCUUUACCGGAGACACCAAUGGGAACUUUGGUAAAGCCUGCAGAGGACAAUCAUUUGGGUGCUCAGUUAGAGUUAAUUGUAUGUCAUAUAUCCUAAUAUUUACUUUAUUUGGAUGCAAUUUUUGUGUGUACUCUUUCUUACUUUUUCCUUUUUGUACCAUUGAUAUAUUUACUGACAGAAACCUGAAGCUCAACAGCAUAUGAAGCGAUCAUUUUCAGUGCCUAUACAUGUUAAAAGCAGAAGCUUAAGGAGAACAGAUACUAGUGGCAGUCUCAUCCGUGUCAUUUCCAAAACUGUUCGGCCAACUACGGAUUCUGAUGCCUCAGCAGACAUACCACAGGAAACAGAAAAUGGUAUGUCCAAUUUUGUCUCGUCCUGGCUCUUAUAAAUCUUAUACUCGUCACUAGCUGCUCCAGUUUGCUAAUUCUUCACGAGUGUAUUUAAUAGUGCAUAUGUGAAAAUCUCUUUUGAUCAUUUUCUGGACUAAAAAGGUUCUUGGUACAAGCCUACAACACUAACUGUUUUACGUGUCUGUUUCUGUCUAUUGAGAUGUUAAAUAUAUGUAUGUCUCUGCUUGUUGAUAUUUAUAUCCAUUUAUGAUUUAGGUCCUCUUGUGGCAAGUUAUACUGAAACAACCUUUUAUGGUUAGAGCUUCUUUUAUUUGCUCAUGUUUUACUCCCUCAAUCCCAAUUUACAUGACGCUCUUUCCAUUUGGUACAUGCCAAACUUUUUUACACCAAUCCAAAAAUAUUAUUGUUUUCUACAACUUCAAGAAUUCAAAUUCAAUUAACUUAAAAUUUUUGAAAUUUUGAUGUGAUAAGACUAACAUUUCAACCGUUACUUUAGUAUUUUGUUGCACUACCACUAACAUCAUACAUAAGUCAUAUUUUGGUCUCAAUGUCAAGUCAAGGUAGUAUCAUUUGUAGAUCACAUUUUCAAUUAAAGAGCUCUUUAUCCCAACAAGUUUGGUAAAAACGAGCUUUAAGUUAGUAAGGAAUAGAAUUGGUUCUGUUAAACUGGAAGUCCUUUACGAGGAUUAAGAAUACUGAAUGGUGAAUGUUUCUUAAUUAUCGCAAUUUACUAAUUUCUAUUUGGUCAUGUUCGCUUUUUUUGGCUCAUUGGAGUAGACAGAAUGCUUGAAUCGAGUAGGAUAGUAGAUACUUCAUCAUAGGCAAUAGUUAAGAGUAAAGGACAUGACCUAUGCUGUCUCCUUUCCUUGUUCCAGUACUUCCUAUGACAUCUUCGCUGAUUAUCUUUUGGUGACUAUAAUGGCUUUUUGUCCUACGCUAUCUGCAGCCACGGAUAAUACUGGUGAAGAUAUUCCUGAGGAAGAGGCUGUUUGUAGAAUUUGUUUUGUUGAACUUGGUGAAGAAAGUGAAACGUUUAAAAUGGAAUGCAGCUGCAAAGGAGAGCUUGCACUUGCUCACAAGGAGUGCACUUUGAAGUGGUUUAGUAUUAAGGGUAACAAGAUUUGUGACGUUUGCAAGCAGGAAGUGCGAAACCUCCCCGUAACAUUAUUAAAAAUUCAAAAUCCUCCAACUGCUGCCAGAAGGUCCCAAACUGUUACACAGCAGAGGGAAGUGCCUCGCUACAGGCAAGUUCAGCUAAUAAAGUUUUACGGCUUCCUUUACUUUAGCUUGAAUCCUUCCCAAAUAUUGAACUCAUGAAUGCCCUGGAUCUUGAUAAGCAUUAAUAGGUUUCUUCACAAGUGUAGAACAUAUUUUAAAAUGAGAUUAAACUAAUUAGUUUCCGUCUAUCUUGUGUAUAAAAUGCUUGAAGAUGAGGAAGGGGGAGAGAAGAGAACGUUGUGGUCACAAAAUUUGGCACCUUUUUCGGUGUUGCUUUGGGCAGCAGAGUGAAAAGUGCACACCAAAAAAUUAAAGCUAUUUAGUAAUAAAUUAAGAUUGAGGAAGGAAAUUCAAUCAGUAGAAGAUCUGACAAAGUGAAGAAAGAUUUAGACCCUCAGAUUUCUGAAGAUUAUACAUAUAAAUCAUCAACCUAAAACUUUACUUUCACUUGUUUGGUGUCUUGUCAGUUUUUAUACCAUGAUAAUUGCCUAACUGGUGUCAAUAGUUUCUCAUUUAUUUGGUGAUACUUUUAACCAGGUUAAUCUAAAUGUUAACGAAUGUCACAUGGAAAUUGGUUUUGUCAACUUAUUUGGGUGUUUCUCUCUUCUUUUACUAUCAACAGAGUCUGGCAAGACGUACCUAUCCUUGUCAUGGUCAGCAUGCUUGCCUACUUUUGCUUUCUGGAGCAGCUUCUGGUACUUUCCUUUUGUUUCUUCAUGGUUAUAUAGCUUCCGAUGUGAGUUAAAGUGCUAAUAUAAUCCAGUAUAUUUCAAUUUAUUUUGGGCCAAAUUGCAUUUUUUAGUGCGUAGUUUCUAAGCUGGUGCAUUUCUGUCCUAUUGUUCCGGAAUGUGCAUUUUUGUACUUAUUUUAUAGGGUUUGUGCAUUUCUUGUCCUACUUUUUUGGUCUGUGCACAUAAUACCAGCUUUCUAAAAGAAUUGCUAAACUAGGACUUCCUCUAACGACAUUACCUUUUGACGGCAAAAUAAUCAGAGGCGGAGCUAGGAUUUGAAGUGUGUGGGUUCUAAAUUUUAAAAUAAAACACUGCUUUCAGCGGGAAUCGAACCCCCAUCUUUCCCUGCGAACCCACAGCCCUUACCAUUGAACCAAGACCCCUUUUGUUACUGGGUUCGGCAGUAUAUAUUUAUAUAGAUUUAGUAAAUAUUUCAAUACAAGUACAGGGUUCCGGAAAAAGUCACUGGGUUCGCUCGAACCCGCACCCUCUACUGUAGCUCCGCCCCUGGCAAAAUUUAUGUACUACCUGUUGAUCAGCCAUUUGAGAGUUCCAAAACCAUAUUCAUUUAUACAUUUCUUUUUGUGUGGAAAUUUGAGGACUUGAAAGAUAAAAAGAAAUAAACGUUAUCAUCAAUAUUGUUAAAAUAAAAUGAUUAUUAGCACUAUAUUAAAACGUCCUAAAUUUGUGUGAAGGUAAGGGGGAGAUGUUGGAGAAUUGAUGCUUGUUAUUACUUCAAGAAAUAAUAUUUGAAUGAAUAUAGGUGUUAAGCAUCAAAAAGACUGAUAUAAAUUUGCACACUUCUGCCUAGAUGGAACAUUGGCAUUUCUUUGAUCAUAUAUCAUAUAGCAUUCACAUUUCUGUCUAAUGUAGGACAUUAUGUUUAUCAUUUUCUUUUCUUGUAUCGUGACAGGUGACUGACUUAGGCGCUCGUGCUCUUGCUAUCUCUUUACCUUUCUCUUGUGUUUUAGGUCUCCUUUCUUCUAUGAUAGCUUCUACAAUGGGUAUGAUUGUUUUCCCUUCUCUAUUUUCUUCUCAUCCGAUGUCAUCUCUGAAAUGAUUCCACAUAUAACACUUCUACUUCUUGGUCUUUUCCUUUAACUUAAUUGAAUACUUUCAUAUAUAUUAUGGCUAGAGAGACAAAGGGGGCUGUUAAUCCGCUGCAUGUUUGUUGGAUUUUGUCUCUUAGAAAUCAAGUUAUCUAAGAACUAUCAAAUCACAAUCUAUUCAAUUUCACCAUUUCUUAACUGGAAAUGAACUUUAUAUUAUAGGAUUUAGUGACUUACACACGACUGUUAAGUAGCCAUAUAUAGUGGAAUUUUGAUCUUCAGUAAACAUGGUUAACGUGUUUGGAUAAACAGUUCGUGUCAUUAGCCAAGAGCCUGCUUGGGUAAAAGUUUUCAGGUUUCGCACUUUAGCUAUCCCAUUUUCACAAAAUCCUCUCUAUUGCAAGGGAGACUCUCUCUCUUUUGAGGAUCAGUCCUAAGUAAAAGAAAAAAAAGGAAAAAAGAUCUCAAACUGCUUGUCAUGCUGUAAUACAUACCUCAUCAAUAUAGCCAUGAAUAGAAUGAAAUUGACCUGACAGACAAAGUAACUGAAUGGCUCUGUCUUUUAAACUUUAGACAUGUUUUUAUUAUUGGCUCAUUCCUCGAUGUUCUUUACAUCAUUUUGAUAUUUUUUGGGUCGAAAUACUUUUGUUGUUAGCUCACUCUUUACUCAUUCCUUUUGAUUUUUUUUCUUGGAGGGAUGAAUCCUUUUAUCAAGAAUUAUAACACAUUCUUUGGCCAUUUGCAGUCAGCAAGAGUUACAUAUGGGCUUAUGCUUCAUUUCAGUUUGCAAUUGUUAUCCUGUUCGCCCAUAUAUUUUAUGCAGUGGUAAGUGAUCUUUCACUCUUUAAUUUCUUGCAUUUCUUGGCGCCCUUCUCUCUUAUGUAUGUUGGCAGCCGGGGUAGGGGGAAGGGGAGGGAGUGGGGUUCCUUGUUUGAUCGAUAGGGGAAGGCCGCUGUUGUUUUCACCUGCAAAAAUAACAGAUACAUAUAGAUUUACAUAAUUGCUAUAUGUGCAGCUUAAUGUUAGUGCAAUCCUAUCAGUGCUACUUUCCUCCUUCACUGGCUUCGGUAUUGCAAUUAGUACCAACUCGCUCCUUGUAGAGUAUUUGAGGUGGAGAGCAAGCAGACGUCUACGAUCUUCCCCUGCACAGACAACCAGUGCCACGCAACCACACGUUCUGCCUGAUCAAAGAUAUUAUAGCUACAUUGACAACACCUCACGCCAACAACGUCAUAAUAAUAGUCAGCAACACCACCACCAACCAUUGCAUAAUCCUGUUGUUGGACAUUCAGAGAAUCCAGGGCUGCAAGAGAUUAGAAUUCAGAGUUCUUAACUCAGACUUCUAACAUUUUCACAGCAUUGGGUAAGUAGUUUGAAGUCAAAUCAGUAUGUGAUGCUGAUUAAUGGUCAAGCAUUUUUGUAUUUUGAGGAAUUCCUUAUCUUGUGCUGCUACUUUUAGUAGUACCAUGAAAAUUCACUUGGUACUUAGCUGCACAAGGAAUAGGCCACAUAGAAAAUGUGCCAGUAUAGGGGGCUUGUAGCCGUUGGAGUUAUUUAUCAUGAAAGUAUUUCGAAGCAGGGAAUUUUGAGUACUUUUGAUAUUUUAUGAAAUGUGUUCUACUAAUUUAUGCUGUCAUCGCCAUUUGUAUUAGUUUUUUCCUAAAAUUUUCUUGUAAUUUUAAAGUGUUCAUAAUUAUGAUCUUAUUACAUUUUUAUUUUUCAUGCUUAUAUUAACUUUUUAAAUAAACACUAAGUUGAAGCAUGCAAGUUUUUUCUCAUUAUUAUUUAUGAAUUGUUUUAGGGAUGUAAUGCCUUAUGAUCUCAACUCUCAAGACAAUGAUCUAUGGAAGACCUCUAGAAUAGUGAAAUCUAUUGUAGGAAUGUAAUUAGAACACAAAUGAAAUAAUUUUUUCAUGACUUUUGAAUAAUUGUUGGAAGUUAAAAGGAAUAAACUUCUAAUUGACAUUAUAAACUCUAAAGGUUGAGAUAGUAUGUAUUUUGUACAUUGCAAUAACGUACCUGUAAGAGGAUUUCAAUCAGUGUGUCCAAACAGUUACUACAUGCAUAUUCAAAUAGCAAUACAAGUACCACGUUUGAGUUAUUUUCGUUUACAGAGCACAGAACUGUUAUCCCAGCUCGUGCAUGGUCUUUUAAGUUUCUUUUGCUUCUUGCUUCUUACUUAUCGUGUAAUUUGUUUUAAUAUUGUUUUCUUCCUCUAAAAUAGCUACUCAACCAUCAGGGGUGGAUCCAGUAUAGUGUUACCGGGUUCAAAUGAACCCAGUAAUUUUAUGGUAGAGUAUAAAUUUAUGUGUAAAAUUCUACUAAAUUUAUAAAAAUAGUAGAUGUGAACUUAACUUUAAAUGUAUAAUUGAUUUUAUGUCAAGAAUCUGAACCCAUAGAAUUUAAAUUCCGGAUCCGCCUCUGUCAGCCAUGUAGAUCAUAAUUAAUGAGAACUUUUAAAUGGAAUUCCAAUAAAUUGAAGUAGAUAGUAAAAAAAAUGGCAUGACAAUUUCUGCAUUUCGAUCCAAAUAAUUCAAACACUCUUACAUAAGAUACACGCGUCUAGAAACUAGUAUGUGUAUAACUGUGUGGCCUGCUAUUUGUGUAACAAUCUUGUAUUGACGCAUGCUUGCCCACUCUAGGCAUCAAGUAUUUGGUCAGCUAAUAUCUUUCCAAAACCGAUAAAAGGAAGAAAUAGGUUUGACUCCGAUUUACAAGAUCUACCAGACGAUCUACUUUCCAGGUACUGCAUUAAACAAGAGUUACAUAAUAAAGAAGCAUCACAUAGAAGUCCAUCUCUCUCAGUUACAGCAAGUUUUUCAACUAAAAUUGAGCAAGAAAACCUGGAAAUGUUCAUUUCCUUUGAACUACAAACUACAUUAUGUUAAAAUGACCAGUAAGUAAAUCUUUUCUCAGACAGCUAGAAUGGCUUGGAUACACCAUGGUAUAUUUGUGUAAAGUGCUAUCAAAAUUAAAGGAUAAAAAGAAAGUUAGAAAAACAAAAUACACGGGGAAUAAAUUAUACACAAGCCUUAUUUAUCGAUCUCCCUUGUUCGCUAAAAGCUUCCACGUAUAGUGCUCUGGGAAUUUGGGAUUUCCUCAGCUGAAUAUUACUUUGUAGGUGC